rnacentral:rRNA from 1 species
AAUCAACGCUGGCGGCGUGCCUAACACAUGCAAGUCGAACGAGAAAGUGACUUCGGUCACUGGAAAGUGGCGUCCGGGUGAGUAACACGUGGGUAAUCUACCCUCGGGUGGGGAAUAACGGAUCGAAAGAUUCGCUAAUACCGCAUAAUGCAGCGGCACCUAAUGGUGAAUAGUUGUUAAAGCGGGGGAUCGCAAGACCUCGCGCCUGAAGAGGAGCCUGCGGCAGAUAGCUAGUUGGUGAGGUAAUGGCUCACCAAGGCUUCGAUCUGUAGCUGGUCUGAGAGGACGGCCAGCCACACUGGCACUGACACACGGGCCAGACUCCUACGGGAGGCAGCAGUGGGAAUUUUGGGCAAUGGGCGAAAGCCUGACCCAGCAACGCCGCGUGAGGGAGGAAAUCCUUCGGGAUGUAAACCUCGCAAGCAAGGGAAGACAGCUAGAG